CUUCUGUCUCCCAUCAAGGUCUGCCGUCCUCAGUGCCUUGAAGACAGGGUUCACCAGCCCCACCUGCAGGGCCAUGUUGGGGGCGGCCUUGAUGUACACAAUGAGCAUGUCGCACACCCUGGGGAUUGAAGAGGAGUGGGAUGCUUCCCUCGGUACUCAGCCAGCAGGGCACCCAGACGCUCGUCCAGGCGAUCCAACUCCUCCUGAGGCACUGUGUCCAUGUCCACGUCCACCUGCAGAAAGGAAGGUAUGGUGGUGGUGGUAAUUCAAUUGCUUUACGAGGUUUGCAAUUCCUAAUCCUACAAUUUAGUUAUGCCUUAAUCUCCCCUCAACUCUCUCCUUGAUACUAAGCAUGCAUCAGUACAAAGUGACAAAAGGAGAAGAAAAAAGCAACAAGAGUAUAAUGGAUAGUGUGAUACUAAUUGUUACACAGAUACUGCAGGUGAUGGUGGUGACAAUAACCUUAAAGCAAAAUUAAUCUUUCUGCCAGGACACUUAACAAAAUGAGA